rnacentral:rRNA from 1 species
GACGAACGCUGGCGGCGUGCCUAAUACAUGCAAGUCGAACGCAGUGGGGACGGGUGAGUAACACGUGGGUAACCUCCCAUCAGAGGGGAUAACACUUGGAAACAGGUGCUAAACCGAUACUGAUGGAUGGACCCGCGGUGCAUGAGCUAGUUGGUGGGGUAACGGCUCACCAAGGGCACGAUGCAUAGGCGGGCCUGGGGGGUGAUCUGGCCAACUGGGAAUGGAGCACCGGCCAGACUCCCUCGGGGGGCAGCAGGAGGGAAAUUUUGGAAAAGGAGGAAAGGCUGACCGCACAAAGCCGGGGUGUUGAUGAAGGGCCUCGGGGUUUAAAGCUCUGUUAAUCGGGAAGCAGUACCGGAAGAGAAAGCAACGGCUAACUACGUGCCAGCAGCCGCGGUAAUAC